AUUGUGGGUUUUUCCUUCUUUAACUGAGGGGUACCAACAAUUUUGUCCACGUGUGUAUUCAUAUGGAGCUGGCCUUGGACCCAGAUGUUCAUGAUAACCACCACCCCCCUUUUUAAUCUGUAGCCUGCUAGUCCAGGGUGGGGGUUCUGAAGUGAGGGAUCAGGGGGACCUUUGGAAGGUGUUCCUCAUGCUGGUGACCUUAGAGCAGCAGCGGGCUGUGCUGAACUCUGGAACUAGAAACGCUUCUGGCCUGACAGUGGAGGAGUCUGCAAUAUCAUCCCAUGAAGCUCAUAGUGGCCACCAGGUUUAAGGUCCAAGCAGCUGAAAUGUCCAGCCCAACCAGGGAGUAUGGCCACAUUGUCAUCAUGGGUUCUGUACGGGCUGGGAGUAUCUACCUUUGAAGGAAAACAUGAAGGAGCCUUAAUCAGUCGGCUAUUGGUGUGCUAUGCAUAGCAUCCUUUGGUCUUAGCUUGUUCUCCAAACAAAUGAAAAAAGUGCUACUUACCUGGAAUAUUCUGUAGAUUUUAUCUCCAUUCGUGUCGUCCUCCCUCAGCGUUAGCCUUUUGCUUCCUUUAAAAAGGAUAGAACUGGUAGACUCCAUGGAGCACGAGGAAUUCUUGCCGGACACCAAGUGGACCAGACUAGCACCGUGACCUUCCUGACACACGGACCAAUCCAUGCGAUUAUUUAGUUAUUUCUGGGCCACAGACUGAAAAGUGUAAAAACUGAAAAUUGAAUUUGGAAAAGGAGAAAAUUAAGGCCUUUCCCCGAAAACCAAAAUUUGAGUGAGAAAUGCAAAGUUUUGUUUAAAACUACUUAAAUAGUUGUUUCAGAAAUGGCAAUAGAAAAAAUGGCCAUAAAUUUGUUUUUCAAUUUGGAUUUCAGAAUUAGAAAUAAAAUGAACGGAAAGUACACGGACCUGUGAGCUCCAUGAUUUCUGCGUGGGCUUUGUCACUCCCAAAGAGAAUAAAAUUGGAAAAGCGCUCCAUUAAAGCCGUUGUAGAUGUGUUCACGAUCCAGACCGGCUCUUAACUGUUCUUCCUCAGCGACUUCCGGUGUUGCAACAAACUAAAAAACAGCCAUAUUUUGUAUUUCGGGUUAAAAAGCUAGAGCAAAAAUCCAACUUACGGAUUUGUGUCUGACUUAAUUUCAUGAGAUUGUUCCAGAAUAAUGGACAUCAGAAAUCAGGAAAAUGGGCAACAAUUCUGGAUUAAUCUGCUGUUGGGUUUAAAACAAACAAAAAUGCUCUUUUUCCUGAUUUGUUCAUCUUUGGUUUAAAAACUUUUAGAAUACGCCUGUUUUUGUUGUUUUUCAGUUUCAACAGACGUUGGGAAAUCAGAAAAAAAAUGGCUUUUUUUGCUUAUUUGUUGUUAUUUUAAAGAAAAUAAGUUCCUGUUUUCUUGUUGUUUUUUGGGGGUUUUUUCUGUUUAUUGUUUGGUUCAUUUCUCUCUUUUUUAAUUAUUUACAUGUUUUUCAAAUAUUGGAUUUAGGAUGAUAUUUAAGAAUGUGUGGAGUAAAUUUUUCGUGCUUUCUUCCGUCCAGCCAUCAUCAUUUUGGGCUGUCUGAACUUUUUAAUAAAAUAAAGUUGAAUGAAUGUUCUCCUCUGAACGAACCGAAUAGAUCUCUACUCCAGAAAAUGUUCCACGUUUAAUCAACCUUAAAUGUGAGCAGCUCUGGAUUCUCCUCGUGUCCGUUGGAGGCGUUGGGCUGCAGCUGCUAAAUUUUGCAUCAGCUUCAGAUGCAGGUCGACUUCAUGAAACAUGGAUGAGGUUCAGUUCUUUCAUUCCACCGGCAAACAUCAAUCCAGUAAUACGACUGUUUACCCUGCUGCUGCUGCACAAAACACCUCAUCUGCAUCACACACACACACACACACACACACACACACACACACACACACACACACACACACACACACACACACACACAUACUGUGUUUUUCUGUCAUUGUGUGGACAUACCAUUGACUCCCAUUCAUAUCUACCCCCUAACCCUAACCCUAACCUUAACCUAACCUUAACCCAGACCAAAACAAUGCCUAACCCUAAAGAAACGUUUUUGCAAGUUUACUUUUUUCAGUAACAACAACAUGGCCAAGAAAACACUGUUUAAACUUGUAGGGACCAAAAUGAGGUCCCCACAAGUGACAUAGUUUUCGGUUUUCCUACAGUUGUGGGGACAUUUGGUCCCCACAAGUAUAGCCAGAGCCUGAGCACACACACACACACCCACACACACACACACACACACACACACACACACACACACACACACACACACAAUCCUUAACGCCGUUUCACAAAAAGUUUCUGGAAUCAGAGCGAACGCUGAGAUUCACAACUUCAGGAUGAAAACGUCUCUAAGGGAUUUACAGUAAUCUCAUUAUAAAACGAUGCGUUCAGGUGUCUUGUUAUGAAACGAUGCGUUCAGGUGUCUCUUUAUGAAACGAUAUGUUCAGGUGUCUCGUUAUGAAAUGAUGCGUUCAUGUGUCUCCUUAUGAAACGAUGCGUUCAGGUGUCUCGUUAUGAAAUGAUGCGUUCAGGUGUCUCCUUAUGAAACGAUGCGUUCAGGUGUCUCGUUAUGAAAUGAUGCGUUCAGGUGUCUCGUUAUGAAAUGAUGCGUUCAGGUGUCUCGUUAUGAAACGAUGCGUUCAGGUGUCUCGUUAUGAAACGAUGCGUUCAGGUGUCUCGUUAUGAAACGAUGCGUUCAGGUGUCUCCUUAUGAAACGAUGCGUUCAGGUGUCUCGUUAUGAAACGAUGCGUUCAGGUGUCUCCUUAUGAAACGAUGCGUUCAGGUGUCUCCUUAUGAAACGAUGCGUUCAGGUGUCUCGUUAUGAAACGAUGCGUUCAGGUGUCUCGUUAUGAAACGAUGCGUUCAGGUGUCUCGUUAUGAAAUGAUGCGUUCAGGUGUCUCGUUGUGAAACAAUGUGUCAAAAUCUAAAUUUCACUGGUUUUUAAAGGAGAAAACCAAACGUUAAUGAAGCAGAAAAGUCCGUGUACGGU